rnacentral:rRNA from 1 species
UACGGGGGGGGCAAGCGUUGUUCGGAAUUACUGGGCGUAAAGGGCUCGUAGGCGGCCAACUAAGUCAGACGUGAAAUCCCUCGGCUUAACCGGGGAACUGCGUCUGAUACUGGAUGGCUUGAGAUUGGGAGAGGGAUGCGGAAUUCCAGGUGUAGCGGUGAAAUGCGCAGAUAUCAGGAGGAACACCGGUGGCGAAGGCGGUUCUCUGGGCCUUACCUGACGCUGAGGAGCGAAAAGCGUGGGGGAGCGAACAGG